UUCUCUCUCGCCGCCGCCCAUUAGGGGCGACGUGCCGGUCGCUAACUCCGGCCCCUUCGACAUCGCCUCGUCUAUCCCACGCUUGCUAUCUCCAGGCCACGUGGACGCCCAUUCCUACGUGGCCUACCUCCGCGAUUCCCGCUCUCCGCCGCCACCGUGAAUUUCUCUUCCGGCAACGCUUCGACGAUCUCCUGAUCCGGUCCUCGGCCCAGGGGGUCGCCGGUACCGCCGCUUGGCCGUCGUGGGGCCCACUCUCGCCCGAUCCAGCGAAACCCUAACCCUAGCUCGCCUCUCUUGCGGUUGGGGAAGGCGCUGGAUCUGGUGGUGGCCCGGCUCUGCCUCGGUCGGGCCUCGAUGUCGGCGAUCUGAAGGCCGCUGGACGAUCAGCGAGUUCUUAGACUGGAUCGGAGAGAACGGCGUCCGAUGAGGUUAUGAAACCCUAGCCAUGACCUCUUUUUGGCCGAUCUUCUUCACUCUUGAUCAGUUCUCCGAAACCCUAACCCUAGCGCUCUGGCAAGCUCAAUGGGAGUGCGGGGAGAUUGGUUGGAGAGUUUUGUUAAGAUCGAUGAUCCGAUGAAGUCUUGGGACGGUUUCUGCUCUUCGGGCGCUGUCCCUUUCCUCCCAUCAGUAACGGAUCGGCGGUGCACGCGAUCUGUGUACUCAUGCGAGUUGAAGUUUGGGCUCGGAUUGGCCGUGGAGAGGGUUUUCGUUAGGCCCUUAGCGGCUGGAGAAAAACAAGGAGUUUGAAUGCAAGCAUGUGGAGUUGAAUCAGCUGUUUAACACUGUUUCACUUUGAUAGGUUGUGUAGAAUGGUACCUUAUGAGUUGCGAUCUUUGUUCAUGCCUGGACCUUAUGAGCAUGAAGAGAGGUGUGCCUGUCCAAAGGAUUUAAAGGAUAUUUUCUGGUGCUUCCUUCAGUGUCAGGACUUUUGGGAAAUCAGGUUAUUUACACUUGGUAUCUUAGCCUUCAACAAUGUCAGAGUGCAGAUCUUGGCAAGUGCUACCUAGAGGCCAGUGUACUGGUAGGAACAUGGAAAGGGCUACCUAGCUCCUGGGGUAGGCACAUGGAAAGUGCUACCUAGAGGCCAGAGGAGAAUAACUGCUAGAGACUCGUGGAGAGAGUACGAGUUGUUGGGCCUCUGCUGCUAGAUGGAGCCACCAUGGUUGUUGAGCCAGUGUCGCUCGAGGGGAGCAAUUGGAGAUGCUGAGCUGGUGUAAAAUGACUGGUAGACACAUGGAAAGGGCUGCCUAGAUUCUGGGGUAGGCACAUGGGAAGUGCUACUAGAGGCCAGAGGAGAACAACUGGUAGAGACUCGUGGAGAGAGUCUUGAGUUAUUGGGCCUGUGUUGCUAGAGUGGAGCCACCAUGGUUGUUGGGCCGGUCUCCCUAGAGUGUAGCCGUUGGAGAUGCUGGGCUUACAAGCGUUGUUGAUUGUUCUGGUCCCAAGGGUUUAAAGAAUUUGAUUCUUAAGAUUGUUCUGAUCAUGAAUAGCAGUAUUGAUCAUGUCCUUGCCUAGUGGGUGGAUUGAAGUUACCCGUUAGGUGCAUGGAAAGGGCUACCUAGAGGCCUGAUUAUAACUUGUAGACUCAUGGCCAUUGUUGCUAGAGUAGAGCCACCGUGAUUGUUGGGCCAGUGUCGCCACACUGGUUAUCGGGCUUGGAAGCAUUGUGGAUUGUUAUCAUCUUGUGGAUUUGAAGAAUUUGAUUUUAUGCUUGGCUGGGUGUAUUAUUGUGUUCCUUAACUACAAGCAAAUUGUAAUGUCUGGGACUAUUAUCAACUUUUGGGGAUAUUCCUCUUUUUGUUCUACCGGUAGGCUGGAAUUUUGCAUCAGAGGUAAAGAAGCUGGGAGUUCUGUGGGAGCAUGUCAGAUCUUGAUGAUUGUCAGCGGUGCAUUGAUGAAACGAUGGUAGGAGAUUUGGUUGAUUCAGGCUCAAGAGAGUGUGGUAGAGGAAGUGUUCCGAGGCUGUUACGCUGGUGCUUACUUGGCUGGUACUAUCAGGAUUGGGAUGUUGGGCCUGAGUUAUGGGCCCUUCCUCAGAACCCGCCACAGAUGGCUUCCACGGUUUUAGGCCGGUGAGUAUUUCCUGUGAGCAGCUUUCCUGUGGUUCCCCCUAAUUGGCCGAGUUGAGGGGUCGAACUCCCCCUAAUUGGCCGAGUUGAGGGGUCGAACUAUGCGCUCCUCCAUACCUGGGAGUCCCAGCCAAGGUUCCUUGCGCAAAAAGAGAGGAAAAGGGAUAGUGAUGGGAGGACCUUCUAUGGGGGGUUGUUUCCAUCCAGUCUCCUCUUCUUCUAUCUGAUGAAGUCUACAAUGACAUGCGGAUGACACUGAAGAUCUACGGCUGGAGAAUUCGCUGCUUGCUUUUCACCGAUCCUACCGUUUGGAUGAGGGGCUUUUAACACAGUUUGUAGUCCAUGGUUCCUACUUAUGAAACUGAGCAACAACAGUUUUUCUUUGUGCUUGCACCAGUAAUUUGGUUUUGGUUUUGGUUUUCGAGCUGAGCGCAAAUCCAAGUUCCCGGAAGAUCUCCAGUGUCUGUUGGGCUGUUGGGUUGAGCAUAUGCUGCUUGGGUUCUCCAGUGACCUCACACUAAUGGGCGGCACCUUGUCAAAUGAUCUUACUACCGUCGAGCUUAUCCUUCCGAGCAAAAGGACCAAGACGCUUAUUUGCUUUCAGUUUUCAGAUUUGUUAGACAUAUAGUCGUGUUUCUUAUGAACCUAAUGUUCUUAUGUGUGGACCCUCAGUGUUGUGAUUUUGCUUUGUCGUCGGACUCCAUAUGCUGUCGGUGGAUUUAGAUAUUUUAAAAUAUUAACUUGAAUGAAAUAUGGAAAGUGGACU